rnacentral:rRNA from 1 species
UACAGAGGUCCCAAGCGUUUGUUCGGAUUCACUGGGCGUAAAGGGUGCGUAGGCGGUCGGGUAAGUCUGUUGUGAAAUCUCCGAGCUUAACUCGGAAACUGCAGUGGAUACUAUCCGGCUCGAGGAAUGGAGGGGAGACUGGAAUACUUGGUGUAGCAGUGAAAUGCGUAGAUAUCAAGUGGAACACCAGUGGCGAAGGCGAGUCUCUGGACAUUUCCUGACGCUGAGGCACGAAAGCCAGGGGAGCAAACGGG